GGGUCCCCGGCAGCGGCGCGGCGGCAGCGCAGGCGGCGUGAGUCACAGCCGAGCCAGAGCCAGUCAGUCGGCGACCGGCGGCGGCGGCGCAACCAUCCGGCGCGCUCCGACGCUCCGCGCUCUACACAGGUGUGGAGAAGCUGCAAGGUGUGCAAUAUUUCCAUAUUUUCUACAUACGCAACAAGAGAAUCUCGUAACAACAACAUAAAGAACACAAGAAGCUUCACACAUUCUUCACAGUUACUUAGGGAAAGAAUUAUGCAAAUUACUGGAUAUCUUUUUUAUAUAACUGGCUUAUACCAUAUAUGUAAUAAAGUUAAAUACUAAACAGUGUGUUAGAAACUAAUACAGGAAACAA